rnacentral:rRNA from 1 species
AUAUUACUAAGGGGAGGAAAAGAAACUAACAAGGAUUCCCCCAGUAACGGCGAGUGAAGCGGGAAAAGCUCAAGCCUGAAAUCCACGGGUGUAACAACCUGUGGAGAUGUGGCCUAGUGACGCCAUCUCAGUGUUUGACCGGCUCUAAAUCUCCUGGAAAGGGGUAUCAGAGAGGGUGAGAAUCCCGUCUGUGAGCUGGAACUAAACGCAUACGAGGGGUGUUCGAAGAGUCGCGUUGUUUGGGAGUACAACGCAAAUCGGGUGGUAAAGUUCAUCUAAAGCUAAAUACUGGCGAGAGACCGAUAGCGCACAAGUA